rnacentral:rRNA from 1 species
CACGUAGGGGGCAAGCGUUGUCCGGAUUUAUUGGGCGUAAAGAGCUCGUAGGUGGUUCGGUAAGUCGGGUGUGAAAACCUCCAGGCUCAACCUGGAGACGCCACCUGAUACUGCUGUGACUGGAGUCCGGUAGGGGAGCGUGGAAUUCCUGGGUGUAGCGGUGAAAUGCGCAGAUAUCAGGAGGAACACCCGUAGCGAAGGCGGCACUCUGGGCCGAUACUGACACUGAGGAGCGAAAGCGUGGGGAGCGAACAGG